AGGAAAAGAAACCAACAGGGAUUGCCCUAGUAACGGCGAGUGAAGCGGCAACAGCUAAUUUGAAAUCUGGCUCCUUCGGGGCCCGAGUUGUAAUUUGCAGAGGACGCCUCGGGUGCGGGUACCUACCGAGUUCCCUGGAACGGGACGCCAUAGAAGGUGAGAGCCCCGUCUGGUUGGACGCCGAACCUCUGUAAAGCUCCUUCGACGAGUCGAGUAGUUUGGGAAUGCUGCUCUAAAUGGGAGGUAUAUGUCUUCUAAAGCUAAAUACCGGCCAGAGACCGAUAGCGCACAAGUAGAGUGAUCGAAAGAUGAAAAGAACUUUGAAAAGAGAGUUAAGCAGUACGUGAAAUUGUUGAAAGGGAAGCGCUUGUGACCAGACUUGGGCUUGGUUGAUCAUCCGGGGUUCUCCCCGGUGCACUCUUCCGGCCCAGGCCAGCAUCAGUUCGCCCUGGGGGACAAAGGCAUCGGGAACGUGGCUCCCUCCGGGGAGUGUUAUAGCCCGUUGCGUAAUACCCUGCGGCGGACGAGGUCGCGCAUUCGCAAGGAUGCUGGCGUAAUGGUCAUCAGUGACCCG
rnacentral:rRNA from 1 species